AGUGAACGCUGGCGGUAGGCCUAACACAUGCAAGUCGAACGGCAGCACUGUAAGAGCUUGCUCUUACGGGUGGCGAGUGGCGGACGGGUGAGGAAUACAUCGGAAUCUACUUUUUCGUGGGGGAUAACGUAGGGAAACUUACGCUAAUACCGCAUACGACCUACGGGUGAAAGCAGGGGAUCUUCGGACCUUGCGCGAUUGAAUGAGCCGAUGUCGGAUUAGCUAGUUGGCGGGGUAAAGGCCCACCAAGGCGACGAUCCGUAGCUGGUCUGAGAGGAUGAUCAGCCACACUGGAACUGAGACACGGUCCAGACUCCUACGGGAGGCAGCAGUGGGGAAUAUUGGACAAUGGGCGCAAGCCUGAUCCAGCCAUACCGCGUGGGUGAAGAAGGCCUUCGGGUUGUAAGGCCCUUUUGUUGGGAAAGAAAAGCAGCAGGUUAAUACCCCGCUGUUCUGACGGUACCCAAAGAAUAAGCACCGGCUAACUUCGUG
rnacentral:rRNA from 1 species